rnacentral:tRNA from 1 species
CGGCCCAGUAGCGCACGCGGGUGCCGCUGCGGGUCUUCGGGAUCUUCUUGGUCUUGCGCAGGCCGCUCCCGGGUUCGAACUUCGCGUCCGGGCCGG